AGGGGAUGUUUCCCAUUUUAUGCUUAGACGAGCAGGAGGAGCGAGCGUACCGGGAGGCAUAAGGCUCCGGAGGACCGGUAGACGCCAUGGAGACGGGCAGGACUGCCUUUAUUACUGUCCCCUCAAGAUGUAUUGUCGGUGCGGACGCCGUAGGGAUUUUAUUCUCUAGUGCGAAGUGUCAGAGGCUUUCCCAAACCCCUGAAGUGCUGAGGGCUUUAACUCCUACACUUUGAAAGCACAGGCAUGAAAUAUGAAAGAUAAAAAUUUACACGAGUGGGCUUAACAUCAAGAUCAUCCAGUGCGGACAAGUACUCCCCCAGAAAACUUCCAUCCAUCAGUUUCCUAUGUGCUGUCGCACUUAUGUAGAAGAGGCACAAAGAAACGGGGAAAGUUGAGGAUUGGAAAGGACAAGCCAUGCUACAAACAGAUGUCUCUUUGGAGUGCUGCCCUGCUGUCACCUGUGACCUCAGUUACUACCAAGAUGCCAGGAGACUUGCCUGCACAUGAAAACAUGAGGACUUUGGGUGCUGAACAAUGGCAGCUAGUGCGAAGCUCACAUGGGGAAGCCUUUUGGAUGGUGCCAUACAGGAACAGUUAGAAGAUGAAGAGGUGAAACUACCCAAUUCAUUUGUCGCCUAGAUCCUUGCAAUCUUUCCAAGGCCAGGUAAAACACCAUAAGAGUCGAGUAGGAUGCACAGACAUGGAUUUUGGAGCCACGUUUACUAAAGUGUGUGUUUUGUGUAGAAGAGGUCUUGUUUUCUUUUCUGUUUGACAUAAAUUCACAAGGGACACAGACCAAAAAAUCCUUGCUUUGUUAGCAAGUUUGUAAUAUUUACAUCAGGCAGGGUGAAUUUGGAAUUCCUAAUUGUUACUUGUUGUAAGGUAUGAAAAUUGUAAUGCACAACAUAAUGGUAAUAUCUGCUUAUUUUUGUCACAAAUAGUGAAGUUUUUAACCUGUACGGUCUGUAAUGUUCCAGAUUUGCUCUGAGAUGCAUUUUUUUUUUAACUUUUUUUUUUGUCUAGACUAUGGUGUUUUGUAUUGUAUGUCAGUCUGUUGGAGUAGAUUACACCUCCUGUAUUUGUGAUGUUCUGAGAUUCCAAUAAAAUUUAAUAUUUCUCUC